rnacentral:rRNA from 1 species
CCUACGGGAGGCAGCAGUGAGGAAUAUUGGUCAAUGGAUGAGAGUCUGAACCAGCCAAGUAGCGUGAAGGAUGACUGCCCUAUGGGUUGUAAACUUCUUUUAUAUGGGAAUAAAAUGUUCCACGUGUGGGAUUUUGUAUGUACCAUAUGAAUAAGGAUCGGCUAACUCCGUGCCAGCAGCCGCGGUAAUACGGAGGAUCCGAGCGUUAUCCGGAUUUAUUGGGUUUAAAGGGAGCGUAGGUGGAUUGUUAAGUCAGUUGUGAAAGUUUGCGGCUCAACCGUAAAAUUGCAGUUGAAACUGGCAGUCUUGAGUACAGUAGAGGUGGGCGGAAUUCGUGGUGUAGCGGUGAAAUGCUUAGAUAUCACGAAGAACUCCGAUUGUGAAGGCAGUUCACUGGACUGCAACUGACACUGAGGCUCGAAAGUGUGGGUAUCAAACAGGAUUAGAUACCCCAGUAGUC